AUUUAUCAGCGCCAGACCGCAUGCCUGUACUGCGGUGACGAGGGAAAGAGUUAUCGAAAAUUCGGCGGAUGCUCUUUCGGUGCCGUUUUUACGGUGUCGUCAGUCUGAUUGUUAAACCCUCUCCGCAAGGGGAGAAACAGAGCUU
rnacentral:ncRNA from 1 species